rnacentral:tRNA from 1 species
UGUUCUGUGGCUAAGUUGGUUAAGGCGCCGGAGUCGUUGGUUCGAAUCCCACUAGAACGC